rnacentral:rRNA from 1 species
CCUUGACAUACUAAGAACUUUCCAGAGAUGGAUUGGUGCCUUCGGGAACUUAGAUACAGGUGCUGCAUGGCUGUCGUCAGCUCGUGUCGUGAGAUGUUGGGUUAAGUCCGCAACGAGCGCAACCCUUUUCCUUAUUUGCCAGCGGGUAAUGCCGGGAACUUUAAGGAUACUGCCAGUGACAAACUGGAGGAAGGCGGGGACGACGUCAAGUCAUCAUGGCCCUUACGGCCAGGGCUACACACGUGCUACAAUGGUCGGUACAAAGGGUUGCUACCUCGCGAGAGGAUGCUAAUCUCAAAAAGCCGAUCGUAGUCCGGAUCGCAGUCUGCAACUCGACUGCGUGAAGUCGGAAUCGCUAGUAAUCGCGGAUCAGAAUGCCGCGGUGAAUACGUUCCCGGGCCUUGUACACACCGCCCGUCACACCAUGGGAGUUUGUUGCACCAGAAGUAGGUAGUCUAACCGCAAGGAGGACCGCUUACCACGGUGUGGCCGAUGACUGGGGUGAAGUCGUAACAAGGUAGGCGUAGAUGA